rnacentral:rRNA from 1 species
ACUCCUACGGGAGGCAGCAGUGGGAGUAUUGCAUCAAUGGCAGGCAAGCAUGCAUGCAGCCAUGCCGCGUGUGUGAAGAAGGCCUUCGGGUUGUAAAGCACUUUCAGUCGUGAGGAAGGUGGUAGUGUUAAUAGCACUAUCAUUUGACGUUAGCGACAGAAGAAGCACCGGCUAACUCCGUGCCAGCAGCCGCGGUAAUACGGAGGGUGCGAGCGUUAAUCGGAAUUACUGGGCGUAAAGCGCAUGCAGGUGGUUUGUUAAGUCAGAUGUGAAAG